rnacentral:tRNA from 1 species
GACCCAUUAGCUCAGGCGGUAGAGCACUUGACUUUUAAUCAAGGUGUCCGGAGUUCGAGUCUCCGAUGGGUCACCA